rnacentral:rRNA from 1 species
UGGCGAACGGGUGAGUAACACGUGGGCAACCUGCCCAAAAGAGGGGGAUAACACUUGGAAACAGGUGCUAAUACCGCAUAACCAUAGUUACCGCAUGGUAGCUAUGUAAAAGGUGGCUAUGCUACCGCUUUUGGAUGGGCCCGCGGCGCAUUAGCUAGUUGGUGGGGUAAAGGCUUACCAAGGCAAUGAUGCGUAGCCGAACUGAGAGGUUGAUCGGCCACAUUGGGACUGAGACACGGCCCAAACUCCUACGGGAGGCAGCAG